UACGGAGGAUCCGAGCGUUAUCCGGAUUUAUUGGGUUUAAAGGGUGCGCAGGCGGGAGAUUAAGUCAGUGGUGAAAUCCUGCAGCUUAACUGCAGAACUGCCGUUGAUACUGAUAGUCUUGAGUUUGGUUAAGGUAGGCGGAAUGUGUAAUGUAGCGGUGAAAUGCUUAGAUAUUACACAGAACACCAAUUGCGUAGGCAGCUUACUGAGCCGACACUGACGCUGAGGCACGAAAGCGUGGGGAUCAAACAGGAUUAGA
rnacentral:rRNA from 1 species